rnacentral:lncRNA from 1 species
UUUUAUUUAUUUUGAUUGUAUGGUGGCUUGCUCCAGUUGGCACCAGCUCCAAUUGAGGCCAGCUCCCAGCAGAAUCUCAAAGUGAAGGAUCUUACGAUGGCAGGUGAAAAGAAAUGAAAUCACUCUGUAGUAAAGUAGUCUUUUACUGCAGAGUUGGUAGAAAUCUUACUAAUGGCAAUACCAUGCGGAGACAAUGCAGAU